rnacentral:lncRNA from 1 species
UUACAGAGGAUUCUCCAUGCUGAAAAUGUGGAGCCUGGGGAAUUACAUAUGGUGCAUAUUUGGUGCAUAUGGUACAUAUGAAGCUUCCAGAGUUGGAAGGUGACAAAACAUGAAUAUGAUUUUCAACAUCUUCCCUAUGAGAAGAAGGGAACAUCCUUAGAAGCAUGAAAUGGGCUUCAGGAAUCCCGCUGGACCUGGUGCUUGGGUGCUGGGUCCUGGGGAUACAAGGGUAAGCGGAGGGGUGGGGCUCUCUUUCUUGGGGACCUUGGCACCCCCCUCCCUUUCUCUCCCCUCCCGGGUUGCCGGGGCUGGGGGCCGAGCCACGUGCAGG